CGGCAACAGCUCAAAUUUGAAAUCUGGCCCUCGGGUCCGAGUUGUAAUUUGUAGAGGAUGCUUUUGGUGCGGUGCCUUCCGAGUUCCCUGGAACGGGACGCCAUAGAGGGUGAGAGCCCCGUCUGGUUGGACACCAAGCCUCUGUAAAGCUCCUUCGACGAGUCGAGUAGUUUGGGAAUGCUGCUCUAAAUGGGAGGUAUAUGUCUUCUAAAGCUAAAUACCGGCCAGAGACCGAUAGCGCACAAGUAGAGUGAUCGAAAGAUGAAAAGCACUUUGAAAAGAGGGUUAAAUAGUACGUGAAAUUGUUGAAAGGGAAGCGCUUAUGACCAGACUUGAGCCCGGUUAAUCAUCCAGCCUUCUGGCUGGUGCACUUGGCCGGCUCAGGCCAGCAUCAGUUCGGCGCGGGGGAUAAAGGUUUCGGGAAUGUGGCUCCUCCGGGAGUGUUAUAGCCCGUUGCGUAAUACCCUGCGCUGGACUGAGGUUCGCGCAUCUGCAAGGAUGCUGGCGUAAUGGUCAUCAGCGACCCGUCUUGAAACACGGACCAAGGAGUCGUCUUCGUAUGCGAGUGUUCGGGUGUCAAACCCCUACGCGUAAUGAAAGUGAACGCAGGUGAGAGCUUCGGCGCAUCAUCGACCGAUCCUGAUGUUCUCGGAUGGAUUUGAGUAAGAGCAUACGGGGCCGGACCCGAAAGAAGGUGAACUAUGCCUGUAUAGGGUGAAGCCAGAGGAAACUCUGGUGGAGGCUCGCAGCGGUUCUGACGUGCAAAUCGAUCGUCAAAUAUGGGCAUGGGGGCGAA
rnacentral:rRNA from 1 species